rnacentral:rRNA from 1 species
UACGUAGGGUGCGAGCGUUAAUCGGAAUUACUGGGCGUAAAGUGUGCGCAGGCGGCCGAGCAAGUCGAGUGUGAAAGCCCCGAGCUUAACUUGGGAAUUGCGCUCGAAACUACUUGGCUGGAGUGUGGCAGAGGAAGGUGGAAUUCCAGGUGUAGCGGUGAAAUGCGUAGAGAUCUGGGGGAACACCGAUGGCGAAGGCAGCCUUCUGGGCCAACACUGACGCUCAUGCACGAAAGCGUGGGGAGCAAACAGG